rnacentral:rRNA from 1 species
GCAAGUACGGUGUCAAUGCGGUGAUUGCAAUUAAUAUGCGGAAUGCACACGCUGACAGUCUGUCUAGUCAGGAUCUGAAAUCUCACGCGCCGCAACCUCGCAAGCUGCAUUCGAAAAAUGGCCGGUUGAGAGUGUAGUAUGAGGGAGGGUUGAAUUAACAUAGUGUAGACGUAUGAAAUGCAUAGAGUAUAAGGAGGAAGAUAUGACGGAGAAGGACGGCCCCCCUGGACACAGACUGACGAUCAGGUACUGACAGCGUAGGGAGCAAAGCAGGAUUGAGAUAAACUGGUUGUGCACGCCUUGAACGACAUGGAGUUAGAGAUUGUGCCUCGGUUGUGUGGCUUCGGGAGCUAACGCUUUAAGUAAAUCGCCAGGGGAGUACGUGCGGAAGGUUAAAACUAAAUUGAAAUUAAAGGGGACCGCACGAGCGGUGGACCAUGGGUUUUAAUUGGGUGCAACGUGAAGAACAUUACAUACUCUUGACCUCCAGAGAAAUGGGCAUAGAUGGAUUGGUGCAUUCGGGAACUUUGAGACAGGUGCCGCAUGGCUGUAGUCAGCUUGUGUUCUGAAAUGUUGGGGUAAGUCCCGCAAUCAGCGCAACCGCGCUCCUUUGUUCCCAGGGGUUCGGCCGGGAACUCAAAGGAGAAGGCCAGUGAUAAACUGGAGGAAGGUGGGGAGGAGGUCAAGUCAUCAUGGCCCUUAGGCGUAGGGCUACACACCUCACACAAUGGCGCAUACAAAGAGAAGAGACCUCGCGAGAGCCAGCGGACCUCAUUAACUAAGUCGUAGUCCGGAUUGGAGUCUGCAACUCGACUCCAUGAAGUGGGAAUGGAUUGUAAUGGUAGAUCAGAUUGGUCCGGGGAAUACGUUCCCGGGCCUGGUCCACACCCCCGGUCACACCAUGGGCGUGGGUUUCAAAGGAACUAGGUAGCUUAACCCUUGGCAGGGCGUUCAUCACUAAGGCUCAGACACGGAGCGCGGCAAAAUAUUACUCUUUACU